GUACUUCCUACUUAAUGUAACCGCUUUCAAAGAGAGUCGCACUUACCAGCAAAUCAAGACACGGUAAGGGAGGUCUGAGGAAGGCAAGGACGCCGUUCAUAAGCGAAACCAACCACGCUUCGUUUCCUGUGGGCUAGGAAGGGCUCUGAGUUCCACAUACGCCCCUCAUUAGGCCAGUGGCUGAAGAAAUUGGGGCGAGUUUAUCACAUUCAGCUGAGGAGCUGUUUCUCCAGGGCUGAAGGGUUCAGGGCGGAAUUGAGACUGGGACCACUUUGCUUAACACGAUGAGCAAACGUGUGAUGUUCGGCCUUUUUGUUUUCACUCUUUAUCCAGGUGCUGUGAUGGGUGACCGUGACUUGGUCCAGCCCAGGGAACCCCAGAUAUCUGGAACUGAAGGCGGCUCCGUGACCUUCAGCUGUUCUUAUGAAACCAGCUACACUUCUGGUGUCUAUCUCUACUGGUACCGUCAGUAUCCGAACCGAGCUCCGCAGUACAUCCUGCGGAGAGGAACGAAGGAAGUCAGCUCUGUCAGUGAUACCGCAGGUUUCGCCCAGGAGAGGUUUUCUUCCCAGGCUGAUGGCAACUCCACAGCUCUGAACAUGACAGCCUUGGAGCUGGUAGACACAGCGGUGUAUUACUGCGCCCUGCAGCGGGCACAGUGACAGAGCCUCACCGCAGAGCUGUACAAAAACCCUCCCCUUCCCUUCACCUUCAGGGGCUCUGCAUGGAAGAGGGACCAGAGAGAACAUCCCCAUGACCCAGCAUUCGCCCCAGUGAGGGAUGCAGCGCUGGGCCACAGCUCAGACACACAGAUGCUGUCCUCCCUGUCAACAUCUCGCUGAUACAUUACAGAAUGUACACACACACA